rnacentral:rRNA from 1 species
CCUACGGGAGGCAGCAGUAGGGAAUAUUGCUCAAUGGGGGAAACCCUGAAGCAGCAACGCCGCGUGGAGGAUGAAGGUUUUAGGAUUGUAAACUCCUUUUGUUAGAGAAGAUAAUGAGGGUAUCGAACGAAUAAGCAACGGCUAAUUCCGUGCACGCAGCCGAGGUAAUAAGGAGGGUGCAAGCGUUACUCGGAAUCACUGGGCGUAAAGAGCGCGUAGGCGGGACAGCAAGUCAGAUGUGAAAGCCUAUGGCUUAACCAUAGAACUGCAUUUGCAACUGUUAUUCUAGAGUAUGGGAGAGGUAGGUGGAAUUCUUGGUGUAGGGGUAAAAUCCGUAGAGAUCACGAGGAAUACUCAUUGCGAAGGCGACCUGCUAGAACAUAACUGACGCUGAUGCGCGAAAGCGUGGGGAGCAAACAGGAUUAGAUACCCCAGUAGUC